rnacentral:rRNA from 1 species
AUGAGUCUCUCAAGUGCUGUGGAAUGGUGGGAGGAGUGGCAGCUGCGCAUCCUCGUCUUGGGCAGCCUCUUCCUCCAGUGGCUCCUCCUUACUUUGUCUGCCGUGCGUAAGCUUGCUAUUCCUUCCUGGUUCAGGUCCCUAAUAUGGCUUGCAUACCUAGGCAGCGAUGCUCUAGCCAUAUACGCCAUGGCUACCCUCUUUAGCCGCCAGAUGAAGCAGGAUCAUGGUUCUGUCCACAGCAAUAGCAUCCUGGAGGUAGUUUGGGCUCCCGUUCUCCUGAUGCACCUUGGUGGUCAGGACGGUAUAACCGCCUACAACAUCGAAGACAACGAGCUGUGGACGAGGCACGUCCUCACUGCCAUCACCCAGAUCACGGUGGCCAUCUAUGUGUUCUGCAAAUCAUGGCCAGGCGACGACAAGAGGCUGCUGCAGGCAUCAAUCUUGCUCUUUGUCCCGGGGAUCCUCAAAUGCCUAGAGAAGCCUUGGGCUCUCAAGAGCGCUAGCUUCAAUAGCUUGGCCAGCUCAUCCGAGCCUUAUCGCCAUCUAAAGAGGAUGGCAUGCCCGUAUGCAUUAUUUCAGAAGAUGACACAGAUGCUUGCCGAUAAGCAACCAAUGGCGAUGCUGCAGGCGCGCAAGUUUAUUGAUGUUGCCUUUCCAGAGUGGGUGAGCCCAUCUGCUCUCCGUUUGAUGAUUUCAAGCAAGACUGGCAAGGACAUUACGCUUGAAGACUAUGUGCGAGAAGCAAGGGAUUAUGUCCUGGGCAAUGGUCAUCCUCAAGCUAGAGGAAGAGGCGCCACAAUUGACCUUGAGCAUAACCAGACUCCUCAAGUUCAAGGAGAAGACGAUACAGCUGAGCCCAACCUUGUUCCUGAAGCCCGGGUAUUAAGCGAUGAAGAAAAGCGCAGAAUCCGUAAAAAGAUAUUAGGCGCUGAGGCCCGUAAGUUAUUUGUAGACCUUGCAUCAUCAUAUCGUGAUCGGCUAAGUAUCCUGGAAACUUUCCUGGUGCAUGAUGCUAAUAUGGCAUAUGAAUCAUUGCAAGAAGGGCUGUAUGAGACUUUUGGUCUUCUCUACACAAAAGCAAAGAUGGCACACAUCACAGAAGUUUCACUGAUGCAAAAAAUUUCUAAUAACAUACGGGAAGCAACUAUGUACCUGUCAUUUGCAGCAAUCGGUCUCUUCCACAAGAGUCACAGAGAAGCUUACAAUAUUAACGAUGUCAAGGUUACAUAUGCCUUGUUGUGUUGUACUGCUGUGCUGGAGUUAUUUUCCCAGUUUGCAGAUAGGAUUAAGCUGACAUCUUCUGGCAUGGUUGCCCAAUAUAGCCUUGUAGGUUUCUUUGCCCGCAACAAAAGGCACAGCAAGAAGAUGCACAUCCUUAGUUCCUUCAAGUGCAAGGACUUUCUUGACCAGCGUUGGUGCAUGGAGUCAUGCCCCUCAUCUUCCAGAAUUACAGAGUUGGUUCUUGGACAUGUGAAAGGUUGGUGGAAGGAACACAUAGUAGAUGCCGCCAGUUACAGGAGGUUCAAUGAUCACAGGGGCCAAUGGACUAUACAGCAUACAGGAUGCUACCAAGAUCUGGCAUGGAGUGCAAACAAGCCAUUUGAUGAGAGUGUCCUUCUGUGGCACAUCGCAACAGACAUGUGCUUUUUCCAAAACGGUGUUCAAUCAGUUAGUCAGGAAAAGGCCACAGGGUGCAGAGAAAUUUCCAACUACAUGAUGUACCUAUUGUUUGUCAAUCCUGAGAUGCUAUUGCCUGGCACGAGGCGAAAUCUGUUCUUGGAAGCUAAUGCUGAACUGGAGGAGAUCCUCGAGGAUGAUAAGGCAUCACUCAAGGCCAUCCUCAAUGGCGAGAAGCCAUCGCUCAUGGAGAUCCUCAAGGGAAAUAAGCCAUUCCCUCAGUUCCUGAAGGAAAAAGGGCCAUCACCUGAGGAGAUUGAAAGAGGAUUUAUGGGCAGAAUAAUCGCCAAGUUGGAGUCCUUGAAAUGCAGAGAAACAGAUCCAGGAUGCAUAGAAUCGCCGACGGUUGAAGAGCAGUGUCCAGCACAAGAAGGUUUUAUCCAGGAUGCCUGGAAGAUUUCUGAAGUUUUGUUGGCUUUGGAUGAUAAGAAGAUGUGGGAAGUGAUUGAAGGUGUGUGGGUGGAGAUGCUCUGCUUCUCUGCCAGUAGGUGCCGAGGGUUCCUGCACGCCAAGAGUAUGGGCACCGGCAUAGAGUUACUCACUUAUGUCUGGUUCCUUUUGUCACGCAUGGGGAUGGAGACCUUGCCGGAGAGGCUGCAGAGGACGGAGCUUUCAAGUGGAGAAGGAUAUGCCGGCACCACUCCAUCGACUUCCCAGAUAUAUGGGAUCCAAUAUCCAACACGCUUCAGACGCUCGAAGCCUCAUGAAGAAGCUGCUGCUGAUGCUGCUGGCGCAUCUACCUCUCACCCCCAAGAAAUCCUACAAGCUGAUUAA